rnacentral:lncRNA from 1 species
CGCAGCUGGUGUUUCAACGCCCUUGUCACUCAGCUCUGGUUUUGUGAAGAGGCUCCUCGCUCCCUGCCCCACGGUACACUGUUGUGUAUUCUUCGUUGUGGGUCCUUCUAGUUGUGGCAUAUGGGAUGCUGCCUCAGCGUGGUUUGACGAGCAGUGCCAUGUUCACGCCCAGGAUUCGAACCAAGGAAACACUGGGCCGCCUGCAGCGGAGCGUACGAACCCAACCACUCAGCCACGGGGCCAGCCCCCAUCCUCUUAUUUUUAUUUGCUAAAUCUGGCAACCCUACUUGAGAUUAGACUCUCGUCGUUGUCCUGUCCUCCAGGUCUGUCCUUGUGGGCCUCCUAUAAUGCAUUCUGCCAAGAAGCCUGAGACAGAAUGAGGCAAAGGAAGAAUCUUAAUCACAUUUGGCUUUUUGUUCUUAUCUAGCUCCAAGUGUCACAGAUAUGCACUGAAUUCAUAAAUAAAUUAAAAC